GGUGAGGAAGCGGCCGCCCUCCGCCGCAGCAGUCGGUAGCUUGGCGGAGCCGCCCGCCGCGCCGCACCGCCUGCCCGGCAGCCGGGCAGCGCCUGCCGGGACCAUGUCGCUCUUCCAGUCCGCCCUGGACUUCCUGGCGGGCCCCGGCUCCCUCGGGGCCGCCAGCCGCGACCAGAACGAUUUCGUGGGGCAGACGGUGGAGAUGGGCGACAUGAAGCUGCGCAUCAAGAGGGUCAUCGCGGAGGGCGGCUUUGCUUUUGUCUAUGAAGCUCAAGAUCUUGGCAGUGGCAAAGAUUAUGCUUUAAAGCGAUUGUUGUCUAAUGAAGAAGAAAAGAACAAAGCCAUCAUUCAGGAAGUUUGUUUUAUGAAAAAACUUUCAGGUCAUCCCAACAUUGUCCAGUUCUGCUCUGCUGCUUCGAUAGGAAAAGAAGAAUCAGACACAGGGCAAGGAGAGUUUCUUCUGCUUACAGAGCUAUGUAAAGGGCAGCUGGUGGAAUUCUUAAAGAAAGUAGAAUCCAAAGGACCUAUCUCCUGUGACACAGUUUUGAAGAUCUUUUAUCAGACCUGCAGAGCAGUGCAGCAUAUGCAUAAACAGAAGCCUCCUAUUAUCCACAGAGACUUAAAGGUCGAAAACUUGCUUAUUAGUAACCAAGGGACAAUUAAACUUUGUGACUUCGGUAGUGCUACAACUAUAGCUUACUAUCCUGACUACAACUGGUCUGCACAAAAGAGAGCACUGGUUGAAGAAGAGAAAUUCCGUCUUCUGCAGAUCACAAGGAAUACAACGCCAAUGUACAGGACACCAGAAAUGGUAGACUUGUAUUCAAAUUUUCCAAUUGGUGAAAAACAGGACAUUUGGGCUCUGGGCUGUAUCCUGUACUUGCUGUGCUUUAGGCAACAUCCCUUUGAAGAUGGAGCUAAACUUCGCAUAGUCAAUGGGAAAUACGUGAUCCCCCAAAAUGACACCCGCUACUCUGUGUUUCAUGAUCUCAUUCGCUCUGCUUUGAAGGUGAACCCCGAGGAGAGACUGUCAAUCACUGAGCUUGUGAAUCAACUGCAGGAGAUUGCAGCAGCUAGGAAUGUGAAUCCUAAAUCCCCCAUCACAGAGCUCCUGGAACAAAAUGGAGGCUAUGGAAACAAUGCUCAACCUCGGAUAUCUGUGACCUCCAUUUCACAGAGCUCCAAGCCUGCAGGACAGCUCAACAAUAUGUACAAUGCAGGCCUGACCGUUGCGGAAUGUGACCAGACUUACGGAGGGUUCUUUGAUAUUCUGAGGGGUGGAACAGAGCGAUUUUUCACUAAUAUUAAGGAUACAUCUUCUAAAGUUAUCCAGUCUGUGGCCAAUUAUGCAAAAGGAGACUUGGAUAUAUCAUACAUCACUUCCAGAAUUGCUGUGAUGUCCUUUCCAGCUGAAGGUGUAGAAUCUGCCAUCAAAAAUAACAUAGAAGAUGUGCGGUUAUGUCUGGACUCUAAACAUCCUGGCCACUAUGCUGUGUACAACCUCUCUCCAAGAACAUACCGGCCUUCAAGAUUCCAUAAUAGGGUUUCUGAAUGUGGCUGGCCAGCAAGACGAGCACCAAAUCUUCAGAAUCUCUAUAGCAUAUGCAAGAACAUGCAUUUAUGGCUGAAACAAGACCAGAAAAAUGUUUGCAUUGUGCACUGCCUUGAUGGAAGAGCAGCAUCUGCUGUGGUGGUUUGUUCUUUUCUGUGCUUCUGUCGUCUCUUCUCUACUGCUGAAGCUGCAGUUUAUAUGUUCAGUAUGAAGCGCUGUCCUCCUGGCAUUUGGCCUUCUCAUAAGAGAUACAUCGAAUACAUGUGUGAUAUGAUGGCUGAAGAGCCCAUUAUUCCUCACAGCAAGCCCAUCAUUGUCAGAUCAAUCAUCAUGACUCCUGUUCCUCUUUUCAGUAAGCAGCGUAAUGGUUGCAGGCCUUUUUGUGAAGUUUAUGUGGGUGAUGAGAGAGUAACCACUACCUCCCAGGAAUAUGACAAAAUGAAGGAGUUUAAAAUUGAGGAUGGGAAAGCAGUAAUUCCACUAGGUAUAACAGUCCAGGGAGAUGUUCUCAUUGUGAUCUAUCAUGCCAGAUCAACACUAGGAGGCCGACUUCAAGCCAAGAUGGCUUCAAUGAAGAUGUUUCAGAUUCAGUUCCACACAGGUUUUGUGCCCCGAAAUGCCACCACAGUGAAAUUUGCCAAGUAUGAUCUGGAUGCCUGUGACAUACAAGAAAAGUACCCUGAUUUGUUUCAAGUCAAUCUGGAAGUAGAGGUAGAGCCCAGAGACAGACCUAGCUGUGAACAGCCACCGUGGGAUAACAUGAAUAUAAAGGGACUGAAUCCCAAGAUCCUUUUCUCUACCCGAGAGGAACAACAAGAGAUUUUAUCCAAAUUCGGGAAACCGGAGCUGCCUAGGCAACCAGGUUCUACUGCACAGUAUGAAGCAGAAGCAUCCCAGUCUUCAGAAGGUGCACCUACUGAUACAGAGUCCCCACACAGCAGUAGUACUGAUGCAAAUAACUUCUUUCAUUCUCUGGACUGGAAAGAAGGGAAAAGUCCAGAAAGUGGAAUAGAGGACAGUUCAUCUAAAAACGGUCGUGUUCCACUGUCUGAUGAUAGGGAGGAAAGUGAGCCUUCAGAUGAGGAAUUCCCUGCAUUUCCAAGUGAAGAAAGUGCAGUAAGCGUUGAUGAAAAAGACUCUGUUACUCCAGAAGGAGAGUUGCUUUUUGAAGCCAAUUUUGAAGCUCCAUCUGCACCAUUACAAAAAACUCUUCCUGAAGAAAAUGUAGACUUACUGGGACUAGACUCUGAUAUUUCACUAGAACAGAAACAACCUGUCUCAGAAACAAAUUCUUCAUCAAGUAGUGCGGACUUAUUGAACAAUCUGUUUGUGGGUAACGCAUCACAGAUUUCAGAAAAGCCCACUGGAGAUCUUCUUGGACAAGGAACAGAUUUCUUUUUCAGCAGUCAGUGUCCAGCUGCUACUCAGGGUACAUCUUCAGCAGCAGCCAUGUCUUCAGCUGAUCCUUUUGACCCAUUCACAAUGUCAUCAACUUCAGACAAUCAAGCCUUGUCUGGUCCAGACCUCUUUGGGGACUUCCUUAAUCCAACUUCAACAUCUACAUCUAGUACAGUUCCUUCUGCACACAGUUCACUUCCACCUUCUUCCAGCUCAGAUUUCUUGAAUUUAGGGAAUUUGACACCAGAGCCACCUAAAGUAUCAUCUUCUACGAGCCACCCAGAUCUCUUGGGUGGAUGGGAUUCUUGGGCAGAUUCCUCAGCAUCCAGCAGUGUCGCAUCACCACAGUUGAAGCCUCUUUUUGAAGGUCAAGCUUUUACCACAGGGAGUCAGUCCAGUGUGUCUUCAGGUCUGUCUUUCAGCCAGGCUAAAUCUCAAGACUUUGAUCCUUUUGCUGAUCUUGCCAAUCUUGGAUCUGGUCUUCCAGUAUUUAUUGUUAGGUUCCUCCAGUAGUGGACUCUUGACUGGUGGCUUUGGUCAGAAGACUGCUCCAUCUCAGAAGCUGGGAAAUCAGUGGCAGAAAUCCACAAAACCACAAAGUACUUCAUGGCAAUCUCAGCCUAAAUGCAGCACAGCAGCUAAACCAAAUUAUACAGUAAACUUCAGUGUUAUUGGAGGACGAGAAGAAAGAGGAGUCAGAACCCCAAGCUUUGGUCAAAAGCCAAAAGUUUCAGAAAAUGACUUUGAGGAUCUCUUAUCUAAUCAAGGAUUUUCAGCUAAAUCUGAUAAAAAGGGACCAAAGACCAUUGCUGAGAUGAGGAAACAAGAAAUGUCUAAAGAUACAGACCCCUUGAAACUCAAGAUUCUCGAAUGGAUUGAAGGAAAGGAGAGAAAUAUCAGAGCAUUAAUAUCCACUCUUCAUACAGUGCUUUGGGAAGGGGAAAAUAAGUGGAAACCAGUCAGCAUGGCAGAUCUAGUAACUCCUGAACAAGUAAAGAAGUACUACAGGAAAGCAGUGCUUGUAGUUCAUCCAGAUAAGGCCACAGGACAACCUUAUGAGCAGUAUGCUAAAAUGAUCUUCAUGGAAUUGAAUGAUGCAUGGUCAGAGUUUGAAAAUCAGGGAUCAAAGUCCCUUUUCUAGAACUUCACCUCUUACACAACUGCUUCUAAAACCUGGAGCUGAGCGUUGUUGUGACUUUAUUGCGCCUAUGAAUUAUGAAGCGCUUUUCCCUGAUAUCAGCACAGUUUCUAAUCAUGCACUUACAUGUGGUGAGAUGUAGAGUAAGGUGUAGAGUAGAGAGCAUUACAUAGAUGCAUUAAGAAAACAGCUGCUCAGUAUUUGGAAGAAAUCAGUCUGGCAGUAAAGAUUUCCUUUCAGUUUUAUAUGUGGUAAAAUAGAACUUUAAUGAAGCUCCAUGAUUUCUGGGAUACUAAUUAUAAAUCAUUCCAAUUUCAUUGAUCCGUUUUACCUAUACGUUCCCCAGUUUUACCUACACGUUGCCCAAUUUGUCUGUUACUUCAGUAGUUUUGUGAUUCAGUUUUGAUGUUUGGUAACUGUCGCCUUAUUCAAAGUGCUUUAGUUAUCAGCAGUGAAUUUGCUUGGCUUAUCUUAAACCUGAAGGUGUAUAUUUUCAUCUGUGUUUUAUGUAAUCAAUCCGAUAAUCAUUCUGUAAAUAACAUUUUUUCUGACAAUACCUGUGUUCCUUACAAUAAAGUAACAGUCGUUUAGCCAAAAAAACCCCAAAUGCUAAAUGUGGGAAAGUCAGCCAGGGUUGUUCUUGAUUUUUUUUUUUUUUUUUUUUUUUUUUUUUUUUUUUUUUUAGCGUAAGAAUCUAGAAACAAGUCUUGACUUAAGGUCUGCAUGAUCCUGCUGUUUUGUUAUUUAUUAUGAACCUUUGGAAAGGCAGUGCUCUGACCAAUGCUUAUUUUCCUAGUUCUUUAAAUGGUGUCUUUUGCUUCCAAUUUCAGUGGAACAUUCCUUUUGUUGCACUUCAGAUACUUUGAUAGGAAUAGUGUUAUUCUGAAACUUGAAGCACAAAACAUUUUGCUCUGCUUUGAUUUGUCUGAGUAAAUACUACAUGACUCAUUAUCAUCAGGAGAGCAUAUAAAGUGCUUUAACACAUUUUGCUGCAUGUCUGAACUUCUGUAUUUUGAGAUAUGCAUGACAUCAGUGUAUGUGAAAACAUGGAGUGUAUUGAUAGGCUGUUGUAUUUCUGCUCACCUACCUUCCAUGCACUGGCUAGUGCAAGAGGAGGAGAGGCACAACUUGGUAACAAAACUUGCCAUGUUUUCUUAUCCCUAUUCAGAAGGCAGUUUUUCACUAGUGCUGGGGUGAAUGAAUGCAAAUGACCAAUGACUGUUAUACUCUGUGUAAUAACAAUGCAAUUUUCAUAUCAUGUUUGAAAAUGUUGAAAAUUAGUGUUGUGGUAUCAAAGCUUUGGCAGCAGUCUCUUGAAGCAGUACAGUUAGGCAUUCAAGGGGAUAUUUUUAUUGUCUUGCUAUUUUGUACAUUUUGCAUGCUUAACUGAGAGGGAAGCUGUACCAUUAUAGAAGAGAUAACUGUUCAGCUGAGCAACAUCUGAACAGAAAACAUGAGAUUCUAAUGCCACCUCAACAGUCUUAAAUCUCAGUAGGUUUCUUUAUGAAAACAGGUAAUUUUCUGUGUGAUUUAGAGUAAGAGCUAAUUCUUUUUUCCUUGGGACGCUUCAUUAAUUCUUUGUAUGUGUGGUCUGCAUCCAUGGAAAUUUAAGGCUUCUCCUGGUAAGAUAGGUUUGUUGGCGACCUGCAUGGCUUUUUAGAGUUCUAGGGCAAAUGAUAUCUAGUAAUAGGUUUAAAAAGACACAGAUAUUUAUAUAAUGACUGUGAUUGACUGCAUUCCUAUAUACAGCUGAGAGAUAAAGCAUUUCUGAGGUAGCUGCUUUUAGUAAGGAAGGACUACUUUGAAAGCCCAUAUUCCUUUAAGCAUGUAUAGGCAACUUAAUUUUGAGGGACACAUUUUCAGUUGCUCUUUUCUUGAAAUACGUGUUUAAAGAAUUAAAACUGAAAAUUGGGAGAAAAAUUCCUUCCUCUGCUUUGUAUGUUUGUAGCAUCUUCUGAAUGUCUAUAUUUCUCUUGGUUUUAAUUCUCUACUCUUGUUUGCAAAACUUUCCUGAACAGUGGAGAAGAACCUCAGAUGUGAUUAAGUGAGCAGGGAAACAUGAGUGCAAGUGUUUUAUCUGGAACUCAAAAUCUCUUGAAAUUGAUUCCCACUUUUUUUAAAAUUAUGGAAAACCAUGAAGUUUGGCUGUGGAUUCUUCCAAGAGCCAUUCGAUAAUUACUGAAACUUCAGCCAGGGUGACAGGACCCCUUGACUUAGAGCUUAAUCAGCUGUGGUCCUCAGUGAUGGAACUACCCAAUUCCACUGUCUUCCUUUCUAUAUAGUUGAAUUUUGGUGCUAAGAAUCCGAGAGGCUGAGUUUGGUAAAUCCUGGAGUCUUGACAGUGGAAGUAUUCUGGUUUUUGUGUAACUGUCAUUUAGCAGUGUGGCGUACAAGAAUGUGCAAAAAGUUUGGGUUUUUAGUAAGACCUUGCAAGCAAACUUUAAAAAAUCAAGCAAUGAACAUAAUAAAUGGGUAUUUCUUUUUCGUUAGCAGAUAAAGCAGCAUGAGAACCACGAAAGGUGUUUUCAUAGUGUAAGGCUUACACUACAUAGUGUAGGGCUUUUCAAUCUUAUGCUCUGUACUUCGUUGUUGAUUGGUUGCUGUAUCAGAUAGGACUGCAUUCAAACUAUUAAACAUGUUACUGUAGUUGUAUGUUACUGUAGUUGUAUUCUUAAUGUCCACAAGCUGAAAAGCUUUUAGAAUAGGCUACAGAAAAAUUGAUUAAGCUGAGACUUGAUUAGGUACCAUGAAUUCUUUCUGGGCUUAAAGUGUAUGUUUUCCAUUCAUGCUUAUUGCACAGUUAAAUUUUGAAAUGCUGAAGUGAAGUCAUACCCUGAGAGCUAGCCUUUAUAUCUGCUUCUGCUAACUGGAAAGCUUGAGGUAAAUAUUGCCAAUAAUUUGAUGUUGUGUUCACAAGACCUCAUAUGUGGCACUUGAAGUUCUGUGUGAAGCACCUCCUUGGCUCUUGCAGUAAAUCGUGGUGCCUUUUGGCCCAUGCUUGUAGUUCCUCUGCCUGUUAAUGACAACUGACUAAUAUCAUGUUGUCUUUGCAGCCUACCAGGAUCCAGUUCAUAAGUGAGUAGGUUGACCAUGGUUAAGCAAAGAAAAAACCAGUGAAACAUAGGUUAAAGGAAGAGUAAAGAACAUCUGGACUCUAGCCUACAUCUCAAACGUUGUUUUCUAAUUCUCUCUUCACCUAUUCCUACCUACCUCUGCUAAAACUAGGUGUAGACUAGUAGAAAGAACCUAGUUUGUAGCCUGCUUUUUCAGCCCUUUCAGAAGGGCUACUGACUGGCUAUGUACAAGUGGCAGUACUGAGUGCUUGGCUUUUUUGCAGAAGUUGCUAUAAAGCAGGGCUGAUAAAAUGAUACAGCAGAUUUACAGCAGUUAUUUCUGAACUAAGUUACUUAUAUCAUAUUGAUGUUAGGUCUGGAGAGCCAGGCAACUUGACACUUAAAAUGGAGAUCUGCGAAGAAGUGGUGUUGAGUGUGUGUGGCUAGAACCUGCCAAAGGAGAAGUGAUGUGUUCUGACCAUACUGGAGGAAAUCAGUUGGUGUCUUUAACCUUGGGCAUGCCUGUUUAGUGUUUCCUAGUGUGGUCAGAUUUCCUUGUGCUUAACAGCAGGGAAGAGAAGGAAAAGGAGUAGAUAAGCACCUACAUUCAUACUAAAUCAUGAGGUUAAGCUCAAUAUUGUUAGUGGGUAGCUGUUCCCCAAGCCUGGGGACAUCAAGCCUGGUAGGAGAAGCUCCUCUGCAUUGUCACUUAGGUAAAGUUCAGAGAGGUUGCUCAUCAGGGGGUAGCUUCCUUCAGCAAAUAUAGAAGUAGUAUAAAAUUUCCAAAUAUAGAAUAGAAAACCUACAACAGUGCUGAUGAAGUUCAUUUCCUUGUGAUGGUGGCAAGGUUGCAGCUGUGAGGGUCACUAGCGCUCAUGAAAAAUGCCUUGUUUACCUCCACUUCCUUACUAGUUCUAGAAAUCUCCUCCAGUGUUGUUUUGCCAAGCACAGAGUAACGGUUCCUUCCUGAAUGCAGACUACGUCUCAAAGCUGCAUGCACAGGAUUAAUAAUAUAUUGCACAAACCAAAGCAGAGUUUGAGCGUAACUGAAGUCUCAGCUGCCCUUUGGGACCGCUGGGUUACGUGCACCAUUCCACUUCCCAAAGCCCAGACUGCAGUUUCCCCAGCAGCAGCAGUAUGUUUGUGCAGUCACUGCCCAUUGCGUUCUCUGCUGCUCACAGGAAUUUUUCAGGGGUAGCAUAAAUACAGAAAUCUUGUUGCUCCUUAGCUGUGUCCUUAAUUGUCUUGUGAUUGCAGUGUAAUGAAUGCUUUGUAAAUAAGUUCACAUCAGUCUUGUACAGUUGCCUGUGCUUUAUGAGUCAGUUGACAUUUUCUGUCAAGAACUUGCAGGUGAGUGACCUGCAAAAGCUGUAGAAGAAAUGUACUGUUUCCGACCCCUUGAGCCCGUCCGUGGUGCAGAGUAGCUCUAGCUACCAGGGGCCCAGAGACCGGGAGCAAAGAGUGACUCAGCUGAGCUGUGGUUCUGAUUUUGAUGAAUCAUGCAAUGCUUGCUCGCUCUGUUUGGAUGAGCUUAUUGUAGGCUGCAAUUUAGACUGCAUUAAGCUUCCAACAGAUGCUCCAAAAAUACAAAGUCAUUUUUAUGAAGGAUACAUGUUGUCAUAGAAGUUUUUAUUACCAAAAGAGGAUUAAGAGGCAUUGUGAGAACUCCCAAAAUUCUUUAGUGGAAUGUAACUGUGUAUCUAUCUGCAAUGUAGACUUCUGGAAGCGAUUGUCAUCUCUGAUAAGGUCUUAACUUGCUCUGAGGUCCUUAUUGUGUUUACCUGUAGUUGUGAUUGUACUUUCUAUACCUGUGAUUUUUCUGGUUUGGGGAUAUGUGGAAGGGCAGAACAGAUCUUCAAGUCCUGUUUUUUGCCAUCUUUCAGGAAAUGUAAUGUACUGAGUAAUUUUGCUACUAGUGAAAUUAAAAUUAUACUUGUAUGUAUAUAAUGGUAAUAUAGUCAAAAUAAGCCUUGUUUAAAAGUAGAUUUAAUGUUUGGCACAAUGUCCUUGAACAGAAUAUUUUGCUUUGAAAUGUAUCAUGACUUAACUGGUGAUCAAUUAAAACAAACAAAAUCA